rnacentral:lncRNA from 1 species
AGAUUGUGUGACCUAAUACUUCUUUUAUUACAGCACUAACUUUUUCCACAUCUAAAAGUCCUCAGAAUUUUUGGAAAUAUAAUGUUUUGACAUCAAAAUUCAAGAGUAUUGGGCUGAGGACAUAGUUCAGUUGGUAGAGUGCUUACCUCACAUGCACAAGGCCCUGGGUUCAAUCCUCAGCACCACAGGAAGAAAAAAAAAUUUCAAGAGUAUUACCUUCUCGUAUUAUUCUUUCAUCAUCUAUUGUUGAUAGAUAUCAAUAUUGAUCUUUAGGAUUUGGGGAAUUGGUGAAGUAAGUCUAUAAAUUGAUAUUGUUUUCCCAAAUAUGAUCUUACUUGACUGUAUCUGUAUUUUGUAAGAUUUAUCUGUCCAGCUAAUAUGCAAGUCGACAUGCAUAGUAAUAUCCCCACCACAUUUCUAACAAAUUGUUAUAGAAAUUUGUUACAGUUUGGAUCUAGAAAUGUUCCUUGAAAAGCCCAUGUUUCAAAAGCAUGAUCCCUAAUGCAGAAAUGUUCAGAGGUGAAAUGAUUAGAUCAUGAGAGCUAUGUGAAACCUCAUCAGGGGCUUAAUCCAUUUGAUGGAUUAAUAAUUCAAAUAGAUUGUAUGGUGGUAACUGUAUGCAAGUGUGGCAUAGCUGAAGGAAGGCCAUCACAGGGGGAGUACACUUAGGGAUCAUGUCUUGUUCCUGGCUCUUCACUUUCUUUCUACUUCCCAGUUGCCAUGAGCUGAGCAGUUUUCCUUUUCUAUGCCUUCUACUGUGACUUUCUGCCAUAGGCCCAGAGCGAUAGAGUCAACUGAACAUAGACUGAAGCUCUGAAACCAAAAUAAACUUUUUCUCCUGUAAGUUGUUCUUGUUAGGUAUUUGGAGCACAGUGAUGAAAAUUGACUGACACAACAUUUAACAUUUUUAUUAUCAUAUUGUCUUCUUUUGUCUCUUGCUGUAUAUAACCAAGACAGAAUAUAAUACCAUAUACUAUAACACAUGAUAUAUAAUCACUCCCUAGUAAUGUAAUCAUUCCCUAAUAAUGAUUGGUUCUAUCAGUCUAUUAAGUAAAACAGAGCAUAUUCAUUCAGUUGUUGUUCUUGCCAGGCGGUGUGCCAAGCAAUAGCAAUUGGGAAACAGGAUUUGAAGGUCUUAGGUCCUUCCCUCAGUCUAGCUUAGACAAUUAGUAAAACAAGGCUUUACUCAUUAAGACCACAUUAAUGAGCUAUUAUAAAGUGAGUAUCAGAUUAGCUGCCAAAUUGACAGUACCUUUAAUUUAAAAGACAGACAAUUGUAGACUGGAGUGUUUUGAAGAGUUCAUGUUUAACUGGACUAAGAAGAGAGUUUGGAAUAUCAGGUUGUUAUAAAGUAGUAGCAGUUAGAAG